rnacentral:rRNA from 1 species
ACAGCAGCCGCCGCGGGAAUACGUAGGUGGCAAGCGUUGUCCGGAAUUAUUGGGCGUAAAGGGCUCGCAGGCGGUUUCUUAAGCCUGAUGUGAAAGCCCCCGGCUCAACCGGGGAGGGUCAUUGGAAACUGGGAAACUUGAGUGCAGAAGAGGAGAGUGGAAUUCCACGUGUAGCGGUGAAAUGCGUAGAGAUGUGGAGGAACACCAGUGGCGAAGGCGACUCUCUGGUCUGUAACUGACGCUGAGGAGCGAAAGCGUGGGGAGCGAACAGGAUUAGAUACCCGUGUAGUCCCUGUCUCUUAUAA